rnacentral:rRNA from 1 species
GACAGAGGGUGCAACCGUUGUUCGGAAUUAUUGGGCGUAAAGAGCGUGUAGGCGGCCUGAAAGGUCAGCUGUGAAAACUCGAGGCUCAACCUCGAGACGUCGGUUGAAACCAUCUGGCUAGAGUCCGGAAGAGGAGUGUGGAAUUCCCGGUGUAGCGGUGAAAUGCGCAGAUAUCGGGAAGAACACCCGUGGCGAAGGCGGCACUCUGGGACGGUACUGACGCUGAGACGCGAAAGCGUGGGGAGCGAACAGG